GACGUAGGGCGCGAGCGUUGUCCGGAUUUAUUGGGCGUAAAGAGCUCGUAGGCGGUCUGUCGCGUCUGCUGUGAAAUCCCGAGGCUCAACCUCGGGCCUGCAGUGGGUACGGGCAGACUAGAGUGCGGUAGGGGAGAUUGGAAUUCCUGGUGUAGCGGUGGAAUGCGCAGAUAUCAGGAGGAACACCGAUGGCGAAGGCAGAUCUCUGGGCCGUAACUGACGCUGAGGAGCGAAAGCGUGGGGAGCGAACAGG
rnacentral:rRNA from 1 species